rnacentral:lncRNA from 1 species
UCAAGAAAUGUUUGUGACCAUUCAGGGUGUAAGGCCAGCCUGAGCCUUCUGACGUUCCACUGGCAGGUGGCGGACUGGAACACCACACGGGCCCCAGGACAGCGUGAUCUUCACUGUCCACUGAAGACGUGGCCAAGGAGGAAAAUGGAAAAGUAGGAACUGUGCCGAGAGCAGACCCUCGUCCUCUGAAGCAUCGCCCUCAACUGUAUAGACCCGACCUCACAGAAGUCCUCCCUCCAGCCACGGAAGUCUCUGUGUUGCACUGACGUGGCCAAGGCCAGUUACAGGCUGCGUCUCUGCUUCCGUAAUGGGAGGACCAAGGUUUGUCUGAUCAACACAGGAAGGCGACUCUGCGGAUGGAGAAGCUUCUGACCUUACAUCACAAAGCCACACUCCUCUGAGGAUGGCGAUGUCUGGUAGGAGACGGGCACAUCUGAGAAGAGCCAUCGGUGUGUGUGCGUGUGGAAUAUCUGCAGACAUGACUGCGUGGAGGAAAUUCAAGUCGCUGCUCCUGCUUCUGGCGCUGCUGGUUCUGUUCGCGGGGCUCCUCACUGCAGCGAAGGGUAAGGAAGCCUUGCUGGCUGCCGGGGGAGAUGGGCGAACCCUCCGAGGCCCCGUUUGCGAACCAAGUGUCUGUCUGGAGGAGGGCAGGAUACCGAGCCGCUGGCCUCUGCCGGUGGCUCUCCUUCGCGGACGCCUGGGGAAUGCGAUGCCGGGGGCCAGCUUCCAUCGCCUUCUGCCCACCCUCGUCUCCAGCGCCCACCCCCGCCUCUCCUUCCCCCUCGCUCGGGCUGAAACGAAAUGUCUCUUCUUUUCUCGGUGUGGUGGGUUGUGAGGGAGAAUGGAGCCAAACCCGAGUGGGGCUGAAACUGCGCUGUUGGCGGAAGCGUUGCCUCCUAGGGGAUGUGGGCGCAGUGGAUCGGGGUGGCUGGGGUGGUUCCCGGACUUUCUCCCCGGACCGGGAGCGGCUGGGAAAGUGGCCCGGGCCAAGCCGGCCUCGCAAGUUCUGACUCUCCAGGGCUCUGGGUGCCGCGGGCGAACCUGCCUGCCGGCCGGGCCCCGCACACCCCUACCCCGGUGCCGCCUUCCUCCUCCCACGGAC